GUUCGUCUUGGUUGGACUGUGGUCCCCAAGGGAGUUACUUUUCUCUGAUGGAUUUCCUGUUGCCAAGGAUUUCAAUCGUAUAGUUUGCACUUGCUUUAAUGGUGCAUCCAACAUUUCUCAAGCUGGGGGUCUAGCUUGUCUUUCUUCUGAAGGUUUAAAGGCCAUGAAGGAUGUGAUCAGAUUCUAUAAAGAAAAUUCUGAAAUAAUUGUCGAUACAUUUACUUCACUUGGUUUCCAUGUAUAUGGUGGGAAGAAUGCUCCCUAUGUUUGGGGUGCACUUUCCAGGUCGAAGCUCAUGGGAUGUGUUUGCUGAGAUUCUUGAGAAGACACACCUGGUUACAACUCCUGGCAGCGGGUUUGGACCUGGGGGCGAGGGCUUCAUCAGGGUCAGUGCCUUCGGUCAUAGAGGAAAUGUUCUGGAAGCUUGCACAAGACUGAAACAGCUGUACAAGUGAGCAAGAGUAGCCUUCCAAGGCCCCAUGCAGCUGUUGCCGUUCUACAGGAUUUCUGCAAUUUCCUGAAGUUGUCACUUGGCUUGUAGGCAACAAGUUUCAGCUGCUUCUUUUUGGGAAUCACCAUUAAUCAAAGAACAUUUCAACUUCCGCAGGCCAGUCGAGAAAGUCUUUAUGAUCGUUGAAAUCCCUGAAAUCUACCUUCAUGCAAGCCCUGAAAUCUACCUUCAUGGGAUCGUCAUGAUCUUGAUGUCGCUUGUGUGUAGCAUCUUUUUGAAGGAUAAUUUGAUCCACUUCACUCUUACCAUCCUAUCGCAAGGCACCAUAGUUGGCUGUGUGUUGCAUGUUGUCAAGGUUGAUUUAGUCUGCCUACCAUCUUGGACUGAUUUUUGAAGUGCUUCAAUUGAUGCUUGGAACAUGUCUUGUGUCAAGUACCGAUUAGCCUGAAUAUCACCCACAUUGCCUGUCAAA